rnacentral:rRNA from 1 species
ACUACGGGAGGCAGCAGUGAGGAAUAUUGGUCAAUGGCCGGAAGGCUGAACCAGCCAAGCCGCGUGAAGGACGAAGGUGCCAAGCAUUGAAAACUCCUUUUGUCAGGGGACAAAAUCAGGCUCUAGAGCCUGACCGAGGGUACUUGAAGAAAAAGCAUCGGCUAACUCCGGGCCAGCAGCCGCGGUAAUAAGGGGGAUGCGAGCGUUAUCCGGAUCUAUUGGGGUUAAAGGGUGCGUAGGCGGACUGGUAAGUCAGCGGUAAAAGCCCGGGGCUCAACCCCGGUGAGCCGUUGAAACUGGCUGUCUUGAGAUGUCGAGAGGUAGGCGGAAUGCGCAGGGUAGCGGUGAAAUGCGUAGAUAGUGCGCAGAACUCCGGUUGCGAAGGCAGCAUACCGGCGGCGAUCUGACGCUGAGGCACGAAAGCGUGGGUAUCGAACAGGAUUAGAUACCCGGGUAGUC